rnacentral:tRNA from 1 species
CCCGACUUAGCUCAGUCUGGCUAGAGCGGCUGACUGUAGUGGGUUCCCGGUACUUCCGGUUCCUCAGCCGCUGAUAUCAGCAGGUCCCCGGUUCAAAUCCGGGAGUCGGGA